GGGCGUUAAGUUGCAGGGUAUAGACCCGAAACCCGGUGAUCUAGCCAUGGGCAGGUUGAAGGUUGGGUAACACUAACUGGAGGACCGAACCGACUAAUGUUGAAAAAUUAGCGGAUGACCUGUGGCUGGGGGUGAAAGGCCAAUCAAACCGGGAGAUAGCUGGUUCUCCCCGAAAGCUAUUUAGGUAGCGCCUCGUGAAUUCAUCUCCGGGGGUAGAGCACUGUUUCGGCUAGGGGGCCAUCCCGGCUUACCAACCCGAUGCAAACUGCGAAUACCGGAGAAUGUUAUCACGGGAGACACACGGCGGGUGCUAACGUCCGUCGUGAAGAGGGAAACAACCCAGACCGCCAGCUAAGGUCCCAAAGUCAUGGUUAAGUGGGAAACGAUGUGGGAAGGCCCAGACAGCCAGGAUGUUGGCUUAGAAGCAGCCAUCAUUUAAAGAAAGCGUAAUAGCUCACUGGUCGAGUCGGCCUGCGCGGAAGAUGUAACGGGGCUAAACCAUGCACCGAAGCUGCGGCAGCGACACUAUGUGUUGUUGGGUAGGGGAGCGUUCUGUAAGCCUGUGAAGGUGGCCUGUGAGGGUUGCUGGAGGUAUCAGAAGUGCGAAUGCUGACAUAAGUAACGAUAAAGCGGGUGAAAAGCCCGCUCGCCGGAAGACCAAGGGUUCCUGUCCAACGUUAAUCGGGGCAGGGUGAGUCGACCCCUAAGGCGAGGCCGAAAGGCGUAGUCGAUGGGAAACGGGUUAAUAUUCCCGUACUUGGUGUUACUGCGAAGGGGGGACGGAGAAGGCUAUGUUGGCCGGGCGACGGUUGUCCCGGUUUAAGCGUGUAGGUGUGUGUUCCAGGUAAAUCCGGUUCACUUUAACACUGAGGCGUGAUGACGAGGCACUACGGUGCUGAAGCAACAAAUGCCCUGCUUCCAGGAAAAGCCUCUAAGCAUCAGGUAACAUCAAAUCGUACCCCAAACCGACACAGGUGGUCAGGUAGAGAAUACCAAGGCGCUUGAGAGAACUCGGGUGAAGGAACUAGGCAAAAUGGUGCCGUAACUUCGGGAGAAGGCACGCUGACA
rnacentral:rRNA from 1 species